rnacentral:rRNA from 1 species
GUGGGCCCUCGAAAUCCUGUGACGGGAGGAUUCAGUCGGAAGGCGGGAGCGUGCGUGCUGAUACCAGAAUGGUUCUGCGAGGGGACCGCUUCGGCUGCACGUUUUCUCGCUGAUACGACGCAUUUCUUUCCCGUCCAAAGGACGUCGCAACCGGUUGGGAAGCGGUCUGAAAGCCGGCAGAGGUAGGUGGCCGGCGUAAGUAACUCCAUGCUUGCGUCGGUGACUUGACCUGACGGAUGUGUCUCGUAUCCCGACCGUUGUGUUACGAAACCCGCACGGGUUUCACCGUCUCCUCCUUUGCAGGAAGCCGGACUGGACGUGGCAGGGGUUCUUCGUGCUGCGGGCGCACAGGCUCAUCCUGUGGCCGCGUGGUACUGAGGCCUUGAGAUGGCUGCGCGUGUUCCGUUGGAGGCUGGCGGUUAGCGGCGAGUAGAUCGGUCACCCACCCGACCCGUCUUGAAACACGGACCAAGGAGUCUAACAUGUGUGCGAGUCAAUGGGACUCGAAUAAGCCCAGAGGCGCAAUGAAAGCAAAGGUCGGACUUGACGCCGACCGUGUUGGGAUCCUUCCGCCUUGCGCGGGAGGCGCACCAACGACCCGUCCUUUCCGACUUGUCGGUUGGGCGGAGUCUGAGCAUACACGUUGGGACCCGAAAGAUGGUGAACUAUGCCCAGGCAGAACGAAGCCAGAGGAAACUCUGAUGGAGGUUCGCAGCGGUUCUGACGUGCAAAUCGAUCGUCAGACCCAGGUAUAGG